ACCUGGGUGGCUCAGUCAGCAGAGCAUCUGACUUUGGCUCAUGUCAUGAUCUCACAGUUUGUGGGUUCAAGCCCUGCCUCAGGCU
rnacentral:tRNA from 1 species